rnacentral:lncRNA from 1 species
AUGCUCAGCUCUAUGGGCCACACACCAACAGGGUACAGGCAAGUGAAUUUUUUUCCUUUGCAAACAAGAGAGACCCAGUCAAAAAAGCUGCAGUUCAGUUUGUGGACAAGUCUUGGGGGCAAGAUAAAAAGGAAAAAGCAGCAAGGUUUAAGAAACGUUGGCUGGCAACACAGGUUAAAAAUGGAGUCUGAAGACAGCUUUUUCAGAAGAUGCUGCUACGGACUUUUAGUGACAGUUGAUCUCAACACAACCCAGGUGUUUUCUACCCCCUUCAUCAUCACUUUGCUUUCAGCUCCAGCCAGCAGAAGGCUCCAGGCUGUGCCAGAUCAGACUUCCCUGUUUUUUCCCCCUGUCAGAAGUUCUUGGGGAAGCUACAGAGCAGCCAGGCCAGUGUUGUGA